rnacentral:rRNA from 1 species
AUGCCUAAUACAUGCAAGUCGAACGAAGAAAUAGUUUGCUUGAAGGUGCUUGCACCGGAUAGUUGCUUUCUUAGUGGCGAACGGGUGAGUAACGACGUAGGUAACCUGCCUAGUAGUUGGGAAUAACAAUGGGAAACCGUUGCUAAUACCGAAUAUGAAUUCGAAGGGCAUCCUUUGAAUUUGAAAGGGGCGUUUCAAGCCUCGCUAUUAGAUGGACCUGCGGCGCAUUAGCUAGUUGGUGAGAUAACAGCUCACCAAGGCGAGGAUGCGUAGCCGACCUGAGAGGGUGAUCGGCCACAAUGGGACUGAGACACGGCCCAUACUCCUACGGGAGGCAGCAGUAGGGAGUUUUCGGCAAUGGGGGGAACCCUGACCGAGCAAUGCCGCGUGAGUUUAAUGAAGGUCUUAUGGAUCGUAAGGCUCUGUUGUAGGGGAUGAAACGUCUAGGGAGGAAAUGUCCUAGACUUGACAGUACCUUACCAGAAAGCCACGGCUAACUACGUGCCAGCCGCAGC